rnacentral:rRNA from 1 species
AUAAUUGAGAGUUUGAUCCUGGCUCAGGAUAAACGCUGGCGGCGUGCAUAACACAUGCAAGUCGAACGAUGAAACUUAGCUGA